rfam:Salmo salar isolate Sally breed double haploid chromosome ssa23, whole genome shotgun sequence.
ACGUGAUUAGAUUGUAAGUCGCUCUGGAUAAGAGCGUCUGCUAAAUGACUUAAA